rnacentral:rRNA from 1 species
UGGCGGACGGGUGAGUAACGCGUAGGUAUCUAUCCUUGGGUGGGGGGACAACCGUGGGAAACUACGGCUAAUACCGCAUGAUAACUGUGGUUUUAAAGGCGCAAGUCGCCUGGGGCGGAGCCUGCGUACGAUUAGCCAGUUGGUGGGGUAAAGGCCUACCAAGGCUGUGAUCGUUAGCUGGUCUGAGAGGAUGAUCAGCCACAUUGGGACUGAGACACGGCCCAA